AAAAAACUAAAAGUUUUGUUUAGCGAACUGAUUACAAUGGAAGAUAUAAUAUGUUAGGGCAUUGGAAGAGACUAAAAAGGUUAUUGAAAGGAUACACCAGAGUUUUUUAUCGCAUUCUUUCCUAAACAAAGUGGAUAUAAUAGAUCUCUUUGCAUCCGAGUAAAAAAAGAUAUUAAGAGGUGCAAAGUAUUAUUCGCUGUAAUCUUGAUUUGAAUUCCAACUUGCACCUACUUUGGCAAACGGCUGAGUAAUUUGGUGCAAUUUACCAAAUUGAUGAUGAGGCCAUACAUGUUGUAGGAAGACUUCGAGGCACAUCUAAGGUUAGAAGCAUCGUCAUUCUUGUACAGUCGAGCAAAUGAGCUGGACUUCGCCAGUUUAAACCCCUUUCCUCCAUAAUCCCAUACACAACUACACACCCCUAACAAAAUACAAUUAUCUCACUUUCCCUUCAUUUUGAUAUGAUAAAUGGUAAUGAAAAAUCUUGAUGUGACAGACCUCGAAAACGUUCCCAUAAGACCAGAAAUAGUGAAAUCCUAUACAAAGUAAGCCAUGAUAUGGAAAACUCUGGGUAAAAGCAAAAGGGGAGGUGAGAGAUUGGGAAGUGGCUGCUAUGGACUUAUUGGUGAGUGCACUGUAAUUGAGGCUACCACAUGGAAGGAAUGAGCACUUGGUUUUGGUCUUGGUGGUCAGGGCAGCGCAGCCAUAACAUCCAUGGUUUCAUUGCUACCCGUUAACAUGUGAAAGACAAAUGAUGCUAAGUGAAAGGUGUUACUCCGAGGCCCACACCUUAUUAAGAAUUUAUA